CGUAGGGUGCGAGCGUUGUCCGGAAUUAUUGGGCGUAAAGAGCUCGUAGGCGGCCUGUUGCGUCUGCUGUGAAAGCCCGGGGCUUAACCCCGGGUCUGCAGUGGAUACGGGCAGGCUAGAGUUCGGCAGGGGAGACUGGAAUUCCUGGUGUAGCGGUGAAAUGCGCAGAUAUCAGGAGGAACACCGGUGGCGAAGGCGGGUCCCUGGGCCGAUACUGACGCUGAGGAGCGAAAGCGUGGGGAGCGAACAGGAUUAGAUACCCUGGUAGUCCACGCCGUAAACGUUGGGCGCUAGGUGUGGGGUCCCUUCCACGGGUUCCGUGCCGUAGCUAACGCAUUAAGCGCCCCGCCUGGGGAGUACGGCCGCAAGGCUA
rnacentral:rRNA from 1 species